rnacentral:rRNA from 1 species
GGGUAAACCUGAGAAACCCGAAAGGUCGACAGGGGAGAUUCAACCGCGUUUGUCGGCGACCGGCGAGGCACGGACGGUCGACGGGCGGCGUUCGCGCCGUUCCGCGUCGUUCGUGCCCGACCGGUCUCGAACGCGUGCACUUCUCCCCCGGUAGGACGUCGCGACCCGUUGGGCGUCGGUCUAAGGAUCGCGCGCUAAGCUCUUUAGAAAUUUUUUCUAACGAACGCGCGGCUCCCGACCGACCUGCCCGACGGUACGAGAUAGGCGCGGGGUCGCGAUCAGUUCGCGUUCGGGCGGCGCUCUCGGGCGCCGUUCCUCGAACGGACUCCUUGCACGCCGGUCGGCGACGCUAUAGCUUUGGGUACUCUCAGGGCCCGUCUUGAAACACGGACCAAGGAGUCUAGCAUGUGCGCGAGUCAUUGGGACCGUGCUAAUCCUAAAGGCGUAAUGAAAGUGAAGGCGCGCUUUAGCACGCCGAGGGAGGAUGGGUGACCCUACAGGUCGCCUCGCACUCCCGGGGCGUCUCGUUCUUUCGCGUCCUCGCGGCGCGAAGAAGAGGCGCACCCAGAGCGUACACGCUGGGACCCGAAAGAUG